AUGUCCCACGCGUACACUGCGGUUCCUCCGCGCCGCCCACGCCCACCUGACGAUUGCUCACUACGUCUUGUUGGCC
rnacentral:sRNA from 2 species